rnacentral:rRNA from 1 species
GAUGAACGCUGGCGGCGUGCCUAAUACAUGCAAGUCGAGCGAACGGACGAGAAGCUUGCUUUUCUGAUGUUAGCGGCGGACGGGUGAGUAACACGUGGAUAACCUACCUAUAAGACUGGGAUAACUUCGGGAAACCGGAGCUAAUACCGGAUAAUAUUUUGAACCGCAUGGUUCAAAAGUGAAAGACGGCCUUGCUGUCACUUAUAGAUGGAUCCGCGCUGCAUUAGCUAGUUGGUAAGGUAACGGCUUACCAAGGCAACGAUGCAUAGCCGACCUGAGAGGGUGAUCGGCCACACUGGAACUGAGACACGGUCCAGACUCCUACGGGAGGCAGCAGUAGGGAAUCUUCCGCAAUGGGCGAAAGCCUGACGGGGCAACGCCGCGUGAGUGAUGAAGGUCUUCGGAUCGUAAAACUCUGUUAUUAGGGAAGAACAUAUGUGUAAGUAACUGUGCACAUCUUGACGGUACCUAAUCAGAAAGCCACGGCUAACUACGUG